GAUGAAGAACGUAGCGAGAUGCGAUAACUAAUGUGAAUUGCAGAAUUCAGUGAAUCAUCGAGUCUUUGAACGCACAUUGCGCCCCCUGGUAUUCCGGGGGGCAUGCCUGUCCGAGCGUCAUUGCUGCCCUCAAGCACGGCUUGUGUGUUGGGCUCCGUCCCCCCGGGGACGGGCCCGAAAGGCAGCGGCGGCACCGAGUCCGGUCCUCGAGCGUAUGGGGCUUUGUCACCCGCUCUGUAGGCCCGGCCGGCGCCAGCCGACAACCCAUCAUCCUUUUCAGGUUGACCUCGGAUCAGGUAGGGAUACCCGCUGAACUUAAGCAUAUCAAUAAGCGGAGGA
rnacentral:misc_RNA from 1 species